GACAGAGGUGCCGAGCGUUAGGCGGAAUCACUGGGCUUAAAGCGUGUGUAGGCGGGUCGUUAAGUGUCUUGUGAAAUCCCACCGCUCAACGGUGGAACUGCUGGGCAUACUGGCGAUCUUGAGCCACCUAGGGGCAGACGGAACAAGCGGUGGAGCGGUGAAAUGCGUAGAUAUCGCUUGGAACGCCGACGGUGAAAACAGUCUGCUGGGGGUGUGCUGACGCUGAGACCCGAAAGCCAGGGGAGCGAACGGG
rnacentral:rRNA from 1 species